AGGUGCAAAGCACUAUUUGCUUUUCUGUGCUCCAUACCCGUCACCGUCAAGUUGAAAUCAGAAUAAUUUCAAGAGCAGGCUCGCUUUGGCUGCACAUGUACUAAAGUUGGAACAAUACAGAAAGAUUAGCGUGGCCCCUCAGCAAGGAUGAUGUGCAGAUCCAUGGAGACUAAUUUCAGGAGCUAAAUCAGAGUGUUGUGAAUAGUCAGAGAAGCAACAGUGAAUAGCGUCUGUCACGGAGAAAUGAGCGGUCCUUGGCCACAGCACAUAAAGCUGCUCCAUGGAGCUGGGGAGCGUGCCCUGUGGUCUGUGCAGGUAAAGGGGGCUUCCAGAAAGAAAGAGCACACCGAGGCUCUUCCUAAGCAGCUAAACUCUCCUUGCUGGAGUAUCAUCCCUGAUAAUCAGAU